rnacentral:tRNA from 1 species
UGGCUGAAAUAAGGCGAUAGACUGUAAAUCUAACCAUGAGGUUAUUACCUCUCAGGCUU